GAUGAACGCUGGCGGCGUGCCUAAUACAUGCAAGUCGAGCGAACAGACGAGGAGCUUGCUCCUCUGACGUUAGCGGCGGACGGGUGAGGAACACGUGGAUAACCUACCUAUAAGACUGGGAUAACUUCGGGAAACCGGAGAUAAUACCGGAUAAUAUAUUGGACCGCAUGGUUCAAUAGUGAAAGACGGUUUUGCUGUCACUUGUAGAUGGAUCCGCGCCGCAUUAGCUAGUUGGUAAGGUAACGGCUUACCAAGGCAACGAUGCGUAGCCGACCUGAGAGGGAGAUCGGCCACAGUGGAACUGGGACACGGUCCAGGCUCCUACGGGAGGCAGCAGUAGCGAAUCUUCCGCAAUGGGCGAAAGCCUGACGCUGCAGCGCCGAGUGAGUGAUGAAGGUCUCCGGAUCGGAAAACUCUGUUAUUAGGGAAGACCAAAUGUGUAAGUAACUGUGCACGUCUUGACGGUACCUAAACAGAAAGCCACGGCUAACUACGUG
rnacentral:rRNA from 1 species